ACAACUGAAAUCACAGUGGUGGGGGAGGGAUUUAACUUUAACCAAGAGUUAACCAUAGUUAGUUUAACCAAAAAACUGGCCCUAGAUGUUAGUGACGCAGAUAGGUACUUUUUCACCCGACCACCUGAAUUUUAUCGUAGACACCAAGAGUUCCCGUCUGUAGCCCCCAGUGGUUCACAAACGAAACACUCAGCUAGUGAGUAGUAAUUGGGGAAUUGUAAUGACAAUAAAUUGUUUUUAUGUAUCGUUUAUUCAACGUAAAGUUAGAUACUACAACUUUGGUAUAAAAACAAAACUGUGGCACUGAACAUAGAUAGCCGAUUGAUUGCAGUCCCAAAAUUAAGAAAAUUCAGUAUAUCCAGGAUCUACGAAUUCAAUGAUAAUCGAAAAUUGUCAACUACAUUGAAAGGGGAUUUGGAACAAGAAUUUAUUCAAACAAUCCUUGCCCGCGAUUGAUAGUGUAACGAAUAAAAUACGGACAACUUAAAGUGCAUACAUUAAUCGCACGUAUAAAAAAAUGAUGCUUUUACACUAAGAAGCAGAAGCACUUUCAAAAUUGGCAGAUCAUGAAACGUUGAUAUCCAUUGAAUGCGCUUAACAUACUUCACAUAAUUUUCAUCGAAUGGAUCCUUGAAUGUGUCGGGUGCAAUUUGAAGUAGGUAUGUGUAUAAUAUAAUUACGUUUCAUUUUCCACUUUUCAAUCAUUUAAUCUUAAAUAAUUAGGAAUCGAAAGGGGGGCUGGGGAGUGAAUGAUGGUUUUUGAACAUAACACAUAUGAAUGAGUGAAAAGUUUUCCACACAUUACGAAAUUAAGUCGUAAUAUCUAUUACAAUUGUACUCUUAUUCUAAUUCUUGUUUACUUCUGUUUAGUAUAACAGUUGUAGUAUUAUUGGCAUUAAUAUUAUUUAUUAUUAUUAAUAGGAGAGCGAACAGCUAUAUCUUGGGUUGCACGAUUUUUGCUUAACACAUACACGAGACACGAACAAACUUGCUCAGCAUUUUUUGUAAAUCACAUUGAUUAGAAAAGAAUACGAUGGAACCGAAGCCGGAGAAGGAGGAAUUGUUUAGUAAUUCAUUUUGAUCAAUCGAUUUUCUAAAAAAUAAUUCUAAUGAUUGGCUAUUUAUCACUCAAGUCUCAAAUGGCCAAUAUCGAAAUUUUCCAAACGUCAUUCAUAUGUUAUAAUGAAUGAAAAUCUAGUCAUCAUUCCUCAUUCCCCUAAACUCGGAGUGCGGCAAUUUUGCAUGAAUUACCGUCCGACUCAUUUGUAAAAACGGCGAUGAAAUAAAUGCGACCCAAAUAUCUACGUUAAAUAUGCUAAAACGAGUAUCAAGUGUUUUGUUGUCAAGAUAAAUACGAAUUUGGAGAAUUACUACUGCAAUUUGCAUUUAUCACUCAAUUAAUGUUUGAUCAUGUGAAUGAUGAAUCCCGUUUCGAUAUUGUAGUUCUCCUUUUCGUUAUUUACCUUCUUACCAUUGAGUCCUAUUCUACAUAUGUUCAACCAUGAAUAAUAUCAAUGUAUAUCAGACUCCAAUGGCUUGAGUCUGUUAAAAACUAGUUACAUCAUCGUCGCAUUUAUUAUAAUCAAUCAAUUGUUAUUUAUAUAUUAUAAUAUAUUUAUAUUUUAUGUAUAAUUGUGAAAUGGUGCAAGGAAUAAUGGAUUAAAUAUUGGGUGAGGAGAGGCGUCGGAUCCAUCCGGCGGACAAAAUGGUUCUCAAUUUUCCUCCCAAUUCAGAUGUCUUUAAAUUUUCUUACACCUCUGAUUCUCAUACAAACCAACUUGUAUGACGUUCCAACGUGACGGAAGAACAUGUGUGCGAACGGACGACAAUAACGACAACUUUUUGGCAGAUGCACAACCUUCGUUACGAAAUAAUAGGAAAAUUCAAAUGAAUAUCUCAUUUAUCGUUGAGUUUUGCCUACAAGAGAGCGGCAGUGUGGCACAACCAUGGUCAUAAGGAGCAACCAAUUCGUUUUGUUAUCUCUACAUAGUUCCGAAAUCCUUUAGACCUAAAAUACAUGUUACUCAUUUCCUUAAGCGCAAUCCCUAGUUAACGAUGAUGAUCUUUCCAUUUCUUGGUUUGUUUUGUUGGAUCUUCCAUUCAUAGUCGUCAUCAGGAUAAUGAAAAUAAAAUUCAAGAUUGCGCAUUAUGAGAUAUAAAAAAAAUUAUCACACGAAUAACCAAUGUAUGUGUAUAGUAUAAAUAUACAUAAAUUCUUAAUCAAAACCUAUCUAUCAAAGAUGGUAAAAGGUAGACUAAUGUCAAUCGUUGUAAGGGAGGAAUAAAAAUUUGUUUUAUCAUUGAUUACGCGUGAUGUUAAUGAUGAUUAUAACGUAUAUCAAUCUCGACGUUGCAGUCGAUGACGGGAGUUGAUUGUUUAGUUGAUGCAAUUUGGGAGAUAUUAAUUUUCGAGACGAAUAAUAAUGGUUUAUCAACGAUUUUACAGAUUACACUGCCACAGUAUCGUAGGGUGUGAGGAGUCCCCCGUGACUCCCGUGGGAGGAACCUGCUUGCCUGCCGGUGACUUCGUUUCUGUAAAAUGAAUUCAAUAUAGUUAACAUAUACUUCAUGAGAAAUCAGUUUAAGGUUUUAUGGAAGAUUGGUUUUUCCAUGGAAUUGAAAACCUGGAUCUUCACAGAAGAACAGCAGCACCGGCACCAGGGACUAUGGUUAAUGAGUACAAACUACUUAAGUGAAUUAGUGAUUUGUUAAUUUUCUGCCAAUUAGUCACAGACAUACAGAUGAUUUAUGAAAUGAUCCUGGAAAUCUGUACACAUGCAUUUCUCUGGACAAAUUUGAUUGCUGUUCUUAAGCAUUGUAAACGGAACGUUUUUCCAUUGUCCAAUUUUGUGUCGAAAUAACCGUUGAAACAUUAUAAAACGAGACGAUUUAUGUGUUGGUGAUUCCUUUUAUACAUUUGAGCAAAAAGCUAUUAAAACACUGGAAAGUAA